CCUACGGGUGGCAGCAGUGAGGAAUAUUGGUCAAUGGACGAGAGUCUGAACCAGCCAAGUAGCGUGAAGGAUGACUGCCCUAUGGGUUGUAAACUUCUUUUAUAUGGGAAUAAAAUGUUCCACGUGUGCGUUUUUGUAUGUACCAUAUGAAUAAGGAUCGGCUAACUCCGUGCCAGCAGCCGCGGUAAUACGGAGGAUCCGAGCGUUAUCCGGAUUUAUUGGGUUUAAAGGGAGCGUAGGUGGAUUGUUAAGUCAGUUGUGAAAGUUUGCGGCUCAACCGUAAAAUUGCAGUUGAUACUGGCAGUCUUGAGUACAGUAGAGGUGGGCGGAAUUCGUGGUGUAGCGGUGAAAUGCUUAGAUAUCACGAAGAACCCCGAUUGCGAAGGCAGCUCACUGAACUGCAACUGACACUGAGGCUCGAAAGUGUGGGUAUCAAACAGGAUUAGAUACCCUUGUAGUC
rnacentral:rRNA from 1 species